GAGUUUGAUCAUGGCUCAGGACGAACGCUGGCGGCAUGCCUAACACAUGCAAGUCGAACGGAGUAAGAGAGAAGCUUGCUUAGCUCUUACUUAGUGGCGGACGGGUGAGUAACGCGUGAGUAACCUGCCUUUCAGAGGGGGAUAACGUUCUGAAAAGAACGCUAAUACCGCAUGAUAUAUUGGGGUCGCAUGGCCUUGGUAUCAAAGGAGCAAUCCGCUGAAAGAUGGACUCGCGUCCGAUUAGCCAGUUGGCGGGGUAAAGGCCCACCAAAGCGACGAUCGGUAGCCGGGUUGAGAGACUGAACGGCCACAUUGGGACUGAGACACGGCCCAGACUCCUACGGGAGGCAGCAGUGGGGGAUAUUGCACAAUGGAGGAAACUCUGAUGCAGCAAUGCCGCGUGAGGGAAGACGGUCUUCGGAUUGUAAACCUCUGUCCUUGGUGAAGAUAAUGACGGUAGCCAAGGAGGAAGCUCCGGCUAACUAC
rnacentral:rRNA from 1 species